rnacentral:rRNA from 1 species
ACACGACUACAUUAGAUACCCGCGUAGUCCUAGCCGUAAACGAUACUCGCUAGGUGUCGGCCACGGUGCGACCGUUGUCGGUGCCGUAGGGAAGCCGUGAAGCGAGCCACCUGGGAAGUACGGCCGCAAGGCUGAAACUUAAAGGAAUUAGCGGGGGAGCACCACAACGGGUGGAGCUUGCGGUUUAAUUGGAUUCAACGCCGGAAAUCUUACCGGGACCGACAGCAACAUGAAGGCCAGGCUGAAGACUUUGCCGGAUUAGCUG